GACGAACGCUGGCGGCGUGCUUAACACAUGCAAGUCGAACGGAAAGGCCCUGCUUUUGUGGGGUGCUCGAGUGGCGAACGGGUGAGUAACACGUGAGUAACCUGCCCUUGACUUUGGGAUAACUUCAGGAAACUGGGGCUAAUACCGGAUAGGAGCUCCUGCUGCAUGGUGGGGGUUGGAAAGUUUCGGCGGUUGGGGAUGGACUCGCUGCUUAUCAGCUUGUUGGUGGGGUAGUGGCUUACCAAGGCUUUGACGGGUAGCCGGCCUGAGAGGGUGACCGGUCACAUUGGGACUUAGAUACGGCCCAGACUCCUACGGGAGGCAGCAGUGGGGAAUAUUGCCCAAGGGGCGGAAGCCUGAUGCAGCAACGCCGCGUGCGGGAUGACGGCUUUCGGGUUGUAAACCGCUUUCGCCUGGGACGAAGCGGGAGUGACGGUAAUGGGUAGAGAAGCACCGGCUAACUACGUG
rnacentral:rRNA from 1 species